UCACAUGAUCCCAGCAAGAUAAUCAUCCAAACAUAUCUUGAAUGUGUCCAGAGUAGGUGCUUGCACCACUUGUGGGGGGAGUCUAUUCCAGACUCUGGAGACUUGGACAGU